rnacentral:rRNA from 1 species
CCUACGGGUGGCUGCAGUGGGGAAUAUUGCACAAUGGGCGCAAGCCUGAUGCAGCCAUGCCGCGUGUGUGAAGAAGGCCUUCGGGUUGUAAAGCACUUUCAGCGGGGAGGAAGGCGGUGAGGUUAAUAACCUCAUCGAUUGACGUUACCCGCAGAAGAAGCACCGGCUAACUCCGUGCCAGCAGCCGCGGUAAUACGGAGGGUGCAAGCGUUAAUCGGAAUUACUGGGCGUAAAGCGCACGCAGGCGGUCUGUCAAGUCGGAUGUGAAAUCCCCGGGCUCAACCUGGGAACUGCAUUCGAAACUGGCAGGCUAGAGUCUUGUAGAGGGGGGUAGAAUUCCAGGUGUAGCGGUGAAAUGCGUAGAGAUCUGGAGGAAUACUGGUGGCGAAGGCGGCCCCCUGGACAAAGACUGACGCUCAGGUGCGAAAGCGUGGGGAGCAAACAGGAUUAGAUACCCGAGUAGUC